rnacentral:rRNA from 1 species
AUUGCCCUUACGGCUCAGUAACACGUAGUCAACAUGCCCAAAGGACGUGGAUAACCUCGGGAAACUGAGGAUAAACCGCGAUAGGCCAAGGUUUCUGGAAUGAGCCAUGGCCGAAAUCUACAUGGCCUUUGGAUUGGACUGCGGCCGAUCAGGCUGUUGGUGAGGUAAUGGCCCACCAAACCUGUAACCGGUACGGGCUUUGAGAGAAGGAGCCCGGAGAUGGGCACUGAGACAAGGGCCCAGGCCCUAUGGGGCGCAGCAGGCGCGAAACCUCUGCAAUAGGCGAAAGCCUGACAGGGUUACUCUGAGUGAUGCCCGCUAAGGGUAUCUUUUGGCACCUCUAAAAAUGGUGCAGAAUAAGGGGUGGGCAAGUCUGGUGUCAGCCGCCGCGGUAAUACCAGCACCCCGAGUAGUCGGGACGAUUAUUGGGCCUAAAGCAUCCGUAGCCUGUUCUGCAAGUCCUCCGUUAAAUCCACCCGCUUAACGGAUGGGCUGCGGGGGAUACUGCAGAGCUAGGAGGCGGGAGAGGCAAACGGUACUCAGUGGGUAGGGGUAAAAUCCAUUGAUCUACUGAAGACCACCAGUGGCGAAGGCGGUUUGCCAGAACGCGCUCGACGGUGAGGGAUGAAAGCUGGGGGAGCAAACCGGAUUAGAUACCCGGGUAGUCCCAGCUGUAAACGAUGCAGACUCGGUGAUGGGUUGGCCUCGAGCCAACCCAGUGCCGCAGGGAAGCCGUUAAGUCUGCCGCCUGGGGAGUACGGUCGCAAGACUGAAACUUAAAGGAAUUGGCGGGGGAGCAC